CCCAGCGCUGAAGCGCUGGGCUAUUAUCUCGCGCCCCUCCGGGGCG
rnacentral:sRNA from 1 species